AACGCACAUUGCGCCCGCCAGUAUUCUGGCGGGCAUGCCUGUCCGAGCGUCAUUUCAACCCUCGAGCCCCCCGGGGCUUGGUGUUGGGGAUCGGCCGCCCCUGCCCGGCGGCCGGCCCCGAAAUCGAGUGGCGGCCCCGCCGUAGCCUCCUCUGCGUAGUAGCAACACCUCGCACCGGAACGCGGCGCGGCCUCAGCCGUGAAACCCCCAACUUCUGAAAGGUUGACCUCGGAUCAGGUAGGAAUACCCGCUGAACUUAA
rnacentral:misc_RNA from 1 species